rnacentral:rRNA from 1 species
UACGUAGGGUGCAAGCGUUGUCCGGCAUUAUUGGGCGUAAAGCGCUUGUAGGCGGUUUGUCGCGUCUGCUGUGAAAUUUCGGGGCUCAACCCCGAACUUGCAGUGGGUACGGGCAGACUAGAGUGUGGUAGGGGAGACUGGAAUUCCUGGUGUAGCGGUGAAAUGCGCAGAUAUCAGGAGGAACACCGAUGGCGAAGGCAGGUCCCUGGGCCGCAACUGACGCUGAGGAGCGAAAGCAUGGGGAGCGAACAGG